CAAAAAUGAUUAUGCCAGGGAAAAGUUUCGCUUAUUUGACUGAUGUCAUGUGAUGUUGCAUUUCUCUUGGCUGUCUGAUUAG
ensembl:snoRNA